UUUCAGCUCCGGUCUUGGCCGGCCGUUUUCUUGGCGUUACUGAAGAUGAUGUCGAAAAUCUAUGUAUGUCGCUUGACACCGAGCAAAUGAGAAGUUUAUGUGAAAAGAUGGAAGGUCAAGAGUCAUUAGAGAAAGCCAGUCUCUUGAAAAAUGCUUGUGGACAUGAACAAGAAGCUGAGAAUCAUAAGGGAGACCAGAAGAAGAUGGCUCAGCAGAACGGCCCUGUGUCAAAUGGGGGUUUCCAUGGCAGCAGUUACCGCAGCAAAGAGAAACCUUGGCUUAGAGAAGAAAUCGAGCUGCUGAGAAAAGGAAUGCUAAAAUUUCCUAAGGGUACUUCUCGCCGUUGGGAGGUUAUCUCUGAUUAUAUCGGCACUGGGAGAUCUGUUGAAGAAAUCAUCAAGGCAACUAAAACAGUUCUCCUCCAAAAGCCUGACUCUGCCAAAGCUUUUGACUCCUUCCUAGAGAAGAGGAAACCUGCGGUAUCCAUAGCUUCUCCACUGACUACAAGAGAGGAAGUGGAGCUGGUGAAUCCUCAGAGCUCCGAAGACAAUGCUGCAAAGGUGGACAAUACUGAAGAAUCACCAAGUGGGAGUUCAGACAACCCGAAAACUGAUGAUGGAAAUUCUGCAACAAAUACAACGCCAUCUUCUGCCUCUUCUUCUUCUUCGUCUUCAGAGCAGGAUGUAUGGUCUGCUGUUCAGGAGAGGGCGCUUGUGCAGGCACUUAAAACCUUUCCAAAGGAUGCCAAUCAACGAUGGGAGCGAGUCGCAGCUGCGGUACCUGGGAAGACUGUAAACCAGUGCAAGAAGAAAUUUGCUUUGCUGAAGGAGAGCUUUAGAAGCAAGAAAAGUACUGCCUAGUCUCCAGCAGAGGAGGUUGGUUGCGUGUUGGCUCAAUAUCGAUGAUGAUGGUGAGUUGCAGACUUAUAGUCAUCAAGGAGAUAUGUUGAUAUCCAAGGUUUCAUCUCGCCUAACCCACCUUGGAGAGCCAUCACACAUUAAUGUUUACUAGUACAACACGUUUUUGGUGUCUGGAAACAAGAGAUUAGCAGUAGUAAGUACCACCAUUAUUUUCCAGGAUGAGAGACACCGCAUGGAAAGAAGAUUUUGUUUAGGGGGGAAUGUUAUCACAAUGUUUCCUUCAAUCAAGUAUCAUGAUCUUUAUAUUUGCAUGAUUUUUGGCUACCGCACCAUGCAAGAGUCAUUGGAUGUUGGAUACAGUUUCUAAUGCAUUCUUUACUACGCUGGCGUUGUCAUUAUGAACCAAGGCUUUGUUUUCUGCUCAAAGCUGCCAAUUCCGGCUGCAAUUUCUACAUUGUUGGAGUUUGGUUUGGAGGGCAACUUCGUUGGAUUUAACAAAUCUGGAUCACUUCAAACGACCAAAUCUAGCAGAAUUGUGGAUGUCCGUCUUUGUCGGUUACCUAUUUGGCGACAUUGGUUGGGUUUCUGGAAUUCACCCAUAUGUAUACAUAAGUGUAUUGAGCCAAGUGGGUUCCCUCUUGACUCCAUGUUGGUUCCAUGUUGCUCUGCCACUGCCUAAGGCGUUACGCGUUAGGUUGUAUCAAACGUACAAUCUUCAGGUGUAUAUAAUAAUGAUUUGCCUCGAAUGAGGGACACGGCCUUUAUUUAUAUAGUUUCUUGAGGCAUUUAGGCUGAAUAUUAUGGGCCUAACCAUUUGGAUUGAACCUGGAUCUAUCAGUUGUUGUCCAUCAGUUGCUCCCACGUAUGGCUCAAAAGCAUGUCAUAACAGAUUCUUCUUAAAUGUACUAUGAUGCAUUGUAGUUCCACCGCGCGUACGAGUUGUCGGAUAGUUUUCCAAAGCACCAAAGAGGGGAACAACGAAGGAAUCUCAGGACAAGAAGCCAUCGAAGUCUCUGAAGAAGGAUUGCUUCAUCGCCACAUUAGUGGUCCAAGCGGGUCACUAGAGUGGGACCCGCCCAUCGACAUAAAACCUAGACGGGGCUGAGGAGUAGCAUUUCGCUCCGGCAACACUUACACUCCGAUGUCGGAUGGCACUGGUCCCAACUUUUAAUUUCAAGUUGUUGUCUUUCUCGUUUCCUAGAUGAUCUUGUUUGAACAUUUUCUAUCUUUGGUCUAGACUCACGUUAUGCAGGAUCGGGGUAUGAUGUCUCGUCUCUCAGUAACCAUUAGUAGUAUCUUUCUGAGUUAAGAGUUUAUUGACCUGAAUGGCUUUGGUAUUGAAGAAAAUCGGAACGUGAUGUACAUGAUGCCUCAUCAUUACAAUCCUUUUAUCUCGCUUGUAAGAUGUACCUUCCGAAUUAUCAUUUAUAGAUUGUAUGCCCGCUGAGAUUUAUAAUGAAUUACGCAUAUAUCGUUUUAUAAAUAAAAUCUAAGUAUCCAAAGGCCUAAAUUGAAUUUUGAUUUCAUAAAAGAUAUUUUUUAUACCCUUAAUUCUAGUACAGCCGUCGGAUAAAACCAGAAGCUCACUCCCACCGAUAGAUGCACGUUUCAUAAAGAUAUGAGCCAACUAUCAGAAUAGUCGUUUCGAGGAAGGACGGUAUAAAAACUAAAUGUCGACAAACCUAUAUUUUUUUGCUGUGCUGUGCUGCGCGAGGUUGUGUUUGUUUGGCAAUUGACGCUGACCCUUCUCAACCUCGGCUGCGCCGCGUCUUCUUUCUCUCUGCUGCCAAAACCCUAAUUCUACUGCUCAUAUAUCGUCCAACCCGCCAUUAGAGCUCACAAGAAGUAGGAGACAACCUCUUUCUAGCUCCGCAAAGAACAGUAUCACUAAGGUACGAGAAUAGCUAUACAUCUGAGCCCACUACUUGUAUCCCUGAUUUUGUUUCAGUAAGUUUUUUUGGCCUUUCAUCAUUGUUAAUGUUGAUCUUUAUCUCUUACAGUUAAUCUAGAUUCGUUUUACUUAGAAGCGAUGCUUAGGUAGUAGAUUUAGGUAUUCCUUGGUCUCGACCUCAAGCUUCUCCUUGUUGCCUGAAACUAUCUGUGUUUCCCCUGGCUACCAUAUGAUAAGUUUGAUAGCUAGAUAUCAUCAAUCAAGGGGUUUGAUUCGCCUGUUAUCUUAUGUUUUUCCGCACUACCUUAUUCUCUUGUAAGGUCGGUUCUCGGAAAGUUUGCUGUAUUACGUGCAAUUGAUGCACAGCGGUAUUUUCACGGGAGUAGAUGUGUUUUUCUGUUGUAAAGUUAUAAAAGUGGUACUGGCUCUUGCUGAGUGCUCAACUGUAUAUUCAUGGAAGAAGAUGUGUUUUUAUGCUUUGAAGUUAUAAAAAUGGUACUGGCUCUUGCUGAGUUGUAUGCGUAGUACUUGCUAAUGCUGCACAUUUAAUUUCCAUAUGUAUUCUGUCUUCACUCUGUAAUUUCUUCCAUGCAGCUUGGAGACUUGCACCUGUUGUACAAGAUUUCUCCAUCAUAAAGAGGCUGGGCUUUGGUUCUGAUAUCAGCAGCCGUUAGGCUAAACCUUAGAAGCAGAAUGAUGGUUCGGAACUCUCUGCGGCUUAUUUCAUACUCACAAGAACUUGUAGAUGGUCAGCCAGUAUUUGUUUCUUCCAAUUGCUUUCCUGCAAAAGCUAAAAAUUAUGAUCCUGCGGGACAUGCGUUUCAUGCUGCUGCUCUUAAACUUGUUGGACAUGAGGAGGCUGUGGAUAGUAAAGAAGAUAGUGUCUCCAAAGACAAGGAACAGACCCACAUGCCAUCAGCUGAAUCUUACAGCAGCAAAGGGAAAAAGAAAGGUACUGGAGAAAAUCAACAAGAUCACUAUGCUUUACUAGGGUUGAGCCAUCUGAGAUACCUAGCGACAGAAGAGCAGAUACGGAAGAGUUAUCGUGAGGUUGCUUUGAAGUAUCAUCCUGACAAACAAGCUGCACUUCUUCUUGCCGAGGAAACUGAGGCUGCGAAACAAGCUAAAAAGGAACAAAUAGAAAGUCAUUUCAAAGCUAUCCAGGAAGCGUAUGAGGCUCUAAUUGAUCCGGUGAAGAGAAGAGUUUAUGAUUCUACUGACGAGUUUGAUGAUGAAGUUCCCACUGAUUGUGCACCACAGGACUUCUUUAAAGUGUUUGGGCCAGCAUUUGUGAGGAAUGGUCGUUGGUCUGUUAGCCAGCCAGUGCCACCAUUGGGUGAUGAUGCCACUCCUUUUAAAGAAGUGGACAGCUUUUAUGAUUUUUGGUACAGCUUUAAAAGCUGGAGAGAAUUCCCCCAUGAAGAUGAGUUCGAUCUUGAGGAUGCUGAAUCUCGUGACCACAAGAGGUGGAUGGAGAGGCAAAAUGCAAAAUUGUCUGAAAAGGCUAGAAAAGAAGACUAUGCCCGUAUUCGUACCCUAGUUGACAAUGCCUACAGAAGAGAUCCGAGAAUACAGAAGAGAAAGGAAGAGGAGAAAGCUGAGAAGCAGCGUAAAAAGGAGGCCAAGUAUUUGGCAAAAAAAUUGCAGGAGGAAGAAGCUGCAAAAGCUGCUGAAGAGGAGAUACGCAGGAAAGAGGAGGAGGGGAAACGUGCUGCUGAAGCUGCUUCGCUACAAAAGAAGGCAAAGGAGAAGGAGAAGAAACUUUUAAGGAAAGAGCGUGCUCGUCUUCGAACACUUUCAGCUCCAGUUUUGUCCGAUCGUUUUCUUGGCCUUACUGAAGAUGAUGUGGAAAAUCUCUGUAUGUCGCUUGACACCGAGCAAAUGAGAAGUUUAUGUGAAAAGAUGGAAGGUCAAGAGUCAUUAGAAAAAGCCAACCUCUUGAAAAAUGCUUGUGGACAUGAACAAGAAGCUGAGAAUCAUAAGGGAGACCAGAAGAAGAUGGCUCAGCAGAACGGCCCCGUGUCAAAUGGGGGUUUCCCUGGCAGCAGUUACCGCAGCAAAGAGAAACCUUGGCUUAGAGAAGAAAUCGAGCUGCUGAGAAAAGGAAUGCUAAAAUUUCCUAAGGGUACUUCUCGCCGUUGGGAGGUUAUCUCUGAUUAUAUCGGCACUGGGAGAUCUGUUGAAGAAAUCAUCAAGGCAACUAAAACAGUUCUCCUC
rnacentral:lncRNA from 1 species